AAAGUACUCCCUCCAUCCCAAAAUUCUUGUCUUAGAUUUGUCUAGAUACGGAUGUAUCAAGUCACAUUUUAGUAUUAGAUACAUCCGUAUCUAGACAAAUCUAAGAAAAGAAAUUUGGGACAGAGGGAGUAGUUG
rnacentral:pre_miRNA from 1 species